UGUACAAAAAGAUGGCUGCCAAACAUGACC
rnacentral:piRNA from 1 species